rnacentral:rRNA from 1 species
GACAUAGGGAGCAAACGUUGCUCGGAAUCACUGGGCGUAAAGGGCGUGUAGGCGGGAAGGCAAGUCAGAUGUGAAAUCCCCAGGCUCAACCUGGGAACUGCAUUUGAAACUCCCUUUCUUGAGUACCGGAGAGGAAAGUGGAAUUCCUGGUGUAGAGGUGAAAUUCGUAGAUAUCAGGAGGAACACCAGUGGCGAAGGCGGCUUUCUGGACGGUAACUGACGCUGAGACGCGAAAGCGUGGGGAGCAAACAGG